UUGCCGUUACAAUGAUAACCUAGUAACCCGGUCAGGCCAGGAAUGGAGCAGCCGCAUCAAGAAGUGUCGUGUGUAGCGGUUUUUU
rnacentral:SRP_RNA from 1 species